rnacentral:rRNA from 1 species
UACGGGGGGAGCAAGCGUUGUUCGGAUUUACUGGGCGUAAAGGGCGCGUAGGCGGCCACCGCAAGUCGACUGUGAAAUCUCCGGGCUUAACCCGGAAGGGUCAGCCGAUACUGCGGGGCUAGAGUGCAGAAGGGCAACUGGAAUUCUCGGUGUAGCGGUGAAUGCGUAGAUAUCAAGAGGAACACCUGCGGCGAAGGCGGGUUGCUGGGCCGACACUGACGCUGAGGCGCGAAAGCCAGGGAGCAAACGGG